AUUGUUUUAAUUUUACGAAGUUUUGUCAUCAGAACUUUAAAUUGUUCAUGACGUCACAUACCUUUGUUUUAGAGCAGUUAUUUUGGAGACUGGAAAUAAAGCAUUAACUGAAUUAAGAUUGCGAAACAAUAUAAUAAAAUUUUAAGUCAUAAGAUUUUUAAAUCAGUCUGGAAUCCUUUGUCAGAAAUCGAUAUUUACAAGAAUUAAUUAUAAGUAUGAUGUAAGAAUAUGUGAUAGAAUAGGCACUACCAAGUUACUAUUAGCAGGUACUUGGCCAAAUGAACCUUUCCCAAUCAAUGAAUGAAUCUGAUAACGAUUGAACCAUUUCUCACCAUGUCUAACUAUAUAAUCAUGAUUUUCAUCAUCAAAUCCAUCAUUAUAUAUUUUAUUUUUUUUUGAUAAAUUUUCUAAUGUAUGUUGGGUUCGUUUUUUCUUUUUUGCAUAAUAUAGCUUUUAUCAUAAAAAAAAGCAUGAUGAAAUGAAUUAUAAAACAUAAGACAUCUAUAAUAAUAAUCUUAUAUUUUAUUACCCCAUUUAUGUAUUUAUAUGUUUUAAUUAGAUCUACACUUAAUUUAUAUAGAGGUGAUAAUUUGUGGUCUCUAUAAUAAAUUAUGACACUUGAUAAACUUUUA